AUACGUAGGGUGCAAGCGUUAAUCGGAAUUACUGGGCGUAAAGCGUGCGCAGGCGGUUUUGUAAGACAGAGGGGAAAUCCCCGGGCUCAACCUGGGAACUGCCUUUGUGACUGCAAGGCUAGAGUACGGCAGAGGGGGAUGGAAUUCCGCGUGUAGCAGUGAAAUGCGUAGAUAUGCGGAGGAACACCGCAGGCGAAGGCAAUUCCCCGGGCCUGUACUGACGCUCAUGCACGAAAGCGAGGGGAGCAAACAGGAUUAGAUACCCUGGUAGUCCACGCCCUAAACGAUUUCAACUGGUUGUUGGGUCUUCAGUGACUCAGUAACGAAGCUAACGCGUGAAGUUGACCGCCUGGGGAGUACGGCCGCAAGGUUGAAACUCAAAUGAAUUGACGGGG
rnacentral:rRNA from 1 species